GACGAACGCUGGCGGCGUGCUUAACACAUACAAGUCGAGCGGUAAGGCCCUUUCGGGGUACGACGAGCGGCGAACGGGUAGGAGUAACAACGUGGGUGGACCUCGCCCUCCAGCUCUGGGAGUAAGACCCGGGAACCGUAGGGUCGUAAUAACUGGAUAUGACUCCAUGACGCAUGUUGUGGGGUGGGAAAGCCUUGUGCGGCUGAGGAUGGGCCCGGCCGGCCUAUCAGCUUGUUGGUGGGGUGAUGGCCUACCAAGGCGACGACGGGUAGCCGGCCU
rnacentral:rRNA from 1 species